GUUGUCAUGAGAGUGGAGGCUGCGGCCGGGGCGAUGGGCAGAGGCGGCCGGGUCUGCUUCUUCUCUGUCACUGCCGCAGCAGCUUGGGGUGCAAGGCGGCCUGGGGCGGCGGAAGGGACGCCCCCCGAGUUCCGUCUGAGGAAGCGGCGGCUGCCGAGGAAGUCCACGAGAGCCAGGUCCCGCACGCCCCUGGGGUCCGGGUGCUGAGGCGCCGCCUGGCCGCCUCCCCGGGCCGCGGCACCGCUCCGACCCAGCCGCCCUCUCCACCGGGGCCGCGGCAGCGCCAGUCGGGGCCCUUCCCUCUAAGCAGCCCAAACGUGCAGAAUGCCCCACAAGAUUGGAUUUGUAGUCGUCAGCUCAUCUGGACACGAAGACGGCUUCAGUGCCCGGGAGCUCAUGAUCCACGCGCCAACUGUCAGUGGGUGGCGGUCACCUAGAUUUUGCCAAUUUCCACAAGAAAUUGUCCUUCAAAUGGUGGAGAGAUGUCGAAUAAGGAAACUACAGUUACUUGCUCACCAGUAUAUGAUUUCAAGUAAAAUUGAGUUCUACAUUAGUGAAAGCUUGCCUGAAUAUUUUGCACCCUAUCAAGCAGAGCGGUUUCGAAGACUUGGCUACGUGUCUCUCUGUGAUAAUGAAAAGACAGGUUGCAAAGCCCGGGAACUAAAAUCAGUUUAUGUGGAUGCAGUAGGACAAUUUCUUAAACUGAUUUUUCACCAAAACCAUGUCAACAAAUACAACAUAUAUAAUCAGGUUGCUUUGGUUGCCAUAAAUAUCAUUGGAGACCCUGCAGAUUUCAGUGAUGAAAGCAAUACUGCCUCUCGAGAGAAGUUAAUUGACCACUACCUUGGGCACAACAGCGAGGACCCUGCUCUAGAAGGAACGUACGCCAGGAAAUCUGACUAUAUUUCUCCGCUAGAUGACUUAGCUUUUGAUAUGUACCAAGAUCCAGAAGUUGCACAGAUCAUACGAAAAUUAGAUGAAAGAAAACGGGAAGCUGUCCAAAAGGAACGCUAUGAUUAUGCCAAGAAACUAAAACAAGCCAUUGCUGAUUUGCAAAAGGUUGGUGAGCGCCUUGGGAGGUAUGAGGUAGAGAAACGCUGUGCCGUGGAGAAGGAAGACUACGAUCUCGCCAAGGAGAAGAAGCAGCAGAUGGAGCAGUAUCGUGCCGAGGUGUACGAGCAGCUGGAGCUGCACAGCCUCCUGGAUGCCGAGCUGAUGCGAAGACCUUUUGAUUUGCCCCUCCAGCCCCUCGCUCGUUCUGGCAGUCCUUGCCACCAAAAGCCAAUGCCCUCACUACCACAACUGGAAGAAAGAGGAACAGAAAACCAGUUUGCAGAACCUUUCCUUCAGGAAAAGCCUUCAUCAUAUUCUCUAACUAUUUCUCCUCAGCAUUCUGCAGUAGACCCGUUACUCCCUGCCACAGAUCCUCAUCCAAAGAUCAAUGCAGAGUCCCUGCCCUACGAUGAGCGGCCUCUUCCAGCUAUUCGUAAGCAUUAUGGGGAGGCAGUGGUGGAGCCGGAAAUGAGUAAUGCAGACAUCAGCGAUGCUCGGAGGGGAGGCAUGUUAGGGGAGCCAGAGCCCUUAACCGAGAAGGCCUUGAGAGAAGCCAGCUCUGCCAUCGAUGUGUUGGGAGAAACCUUGGUUGCCGGGGCCUAUUGUAAGACGUGGUCCUACCGAGAGGACGCACUGCUUGCCUUGUCUAAGAAGUUGAUGGAAAUGCCUGUUGGAACCCCAAAAGAAGAUUUAAAGAACACACUGAGAGCAUCCGUCUUUCUCGUUAGAAGAGCCAUAAAGGACAUUGUGACCUCCGUUUUUCAGGCUUCUUUGAAAUUGUUGAAAAUGAUCAUUACACAAUAUAUUCCUAAACAUAAGCUGAGUAAACUUGAAACAGCUCACUGUGUGGAGAGGACCAUUCCCGUUUUGCUCACCAGAACUGGAGAUUCUUCUGCCCGCCUCCGCGUCACAGCUGCAAAUUUUAUUCAGGUCUGAACUUCACCACGGCAUUUGAAACCAUAGAUGAUAAACAUAAUUCCUGUAGCUCUCUGGCUUUCUUAACACCUUUUACAAGAUUCUGUCUCUACUCAGUUAACAUUAUUCUCAGGGAUUCACCAUCACACUUUCCUUAUGCUCUAAAAGGUCAGUUUUGUCUUAGACAUAAACUUCAGUUAAAAUCUA
rnacentral:sRNA from 1 species